GCCCCCAUAGCCCAAUCGGCAGAGGCGGUUGACUUAAAAUCAAUACAGUGUGGGUUCGAGUCCCACUGGGGGCACCA
rnacentral:tRNA from 6 species